rnacentral:ncRNA from 1 species
AUAGUGUAUGAAAGGAGAGAAGGUUAGCAAUCCCAUUGACAAGAAUGGAAGAGGCCCUUGGGCCUGACAACAUGCAUACAGUUAAGGCAUUGCCACCUACUUCAUGGUAUCUAACCAGUGUUUUUU